AACGAACGCUGGCGGCAUGCCUAACACAUGCAAGUCGAACGGGAUCCUAGCUUGCUAGGUGAGAGUGGCGGACGGGUGAGUAACACGUGGGAAUCUGCCUUUUGGUUCGGGAUAACCGCGGGAAACUGCGGCUAAUACCGAAUGCCCUCGAGAGAGGAAAGAUUUAUCGCCAGAAGAGGAGCCCGCGUCCGAUUAGGUAGUUGGUGGGGUAAAGGCCUACCAAGCCGACGAUCGGUAGCUGGUCUGAGAGGAUGAUCAGCCACACUGGGACUGAGAUACGGCCCAGACUCCUACGGGAGGCAGCAGUGGGGGAAUAUUGGGACAAUGGGGGCGAACCCUGAUCCAGCAAUGCCGCGUGAGUGAUGAA
rnacentral:rRNA from 1 species